rnacentral:rRNA from 1 species
GACGAACGCUGUCGGCGUGCUUAACACAUGCAAGUCGAACGGAAAGGCCCUGCUUUUGUGGGGUGCUCGAGUGGCGAACGGGUGAGUAACACGUGAGUAACCUGCCCUUGACUUUGGGAUAACUUCAGGAAACUGGGGCUAAUACCGGAUAGGAGCUCCUGCUGCAUGGUGGGGGUUGGAAAGUUUCGGCGGUUGGGGAUGGACUCGCGGCUUAUCAGGUUGUUGGUGGGGUAGUGGCUUACCAAGUCUUUGACGGGUAGCCGGCAUGAGAGGGUGACCGGCCACAUUGGGACUGAGGUAAGGCCCAGACUCCUACGGGAGGCAGCAGUGGGGAAUAUUGCACAAUGGGCGGGAGCCUGAUGCAGCAACGCCGCGUGCGGGAUAACGGCCUUCGGGUUGUAAACCGCUUUCGCCUGUGACGAAGCGUGAGUGACGGUAAUGGGUAAAGAAGCACCGGCUAACUACGUG